rnacentral:misc_RNA from 1 species
GAAAGAAAGAGGGAGGAAGACGAAGAACAACAAGAAGCUGCGCCUGCAGAACUCCAUUUAAGAUUUGGUCCUCUCUUCCUCUCCACUCUCUCAACCAAAUUUAAAAAAAAAGAAACGAAGUUAAAUAUUUUUGGGUUUCCCUCUUUGACAUCUUAGUUUUGCAAUAAUUGACCAAUCACCCUCUAAUUUUGGUUUUCUUUUCUUUUAUAUCACCACUUUCCUCCCAUGAUUUCAUCAUUUAGCAUUUGAGCUCCUUUUGUUUUCCCUUGUUAGAUCUAAAAGAUUUUCAACCACCCACUCGCCUGGCCGACCGACCAGAUCCGCCGUCGGUUAAUUCAAAUCUAUGGAUGAUUUUCCUGGUCUAUUGGCCCAGGACUUCGGUUUCAAACCCCAGGGUAAAUCCGCCNNNNNNNNNCAACACUAACACCUUCUCCUCUGUCAAUUUCGGCCUCGGAUCCGCUGCUCCUGCUUCUCACUAUCGAUCUUCCUCUGCCACCCUCGAUUCUGCUCCUAUUUUCGAUGAUCACGGUCACGAUCGUGGCGGCGGCGGGAGUGAUGGUCUCUUGUUCAACGACGUCUUUGGGGGCCCGCCUAAGUAUGCGGAAUCGCGUGGCGGCGGUGAUGGAGGAAUUAAAUCGUCGUCUUCUGCAUUUGAUUAUGACUCCAUUUUCAAGGACCAGAAUGCGAAAUCCGGGUCUUUGCCGGUUUUUGAUAAGCCAGUUUAUGAUGAUGAUAUUUUCGAUGGAUUGCCUGGCCUGAAGAGUUCGUCUGUGGGUCCUCAAUCGGCUAAUUUUGAUGAUGUGUUUUCUUCGAUCGGCACUGCUUCUUCGACCAAGCGUAGGGCGCAAAACAACAGCUCGCCAUUUGAUGAUCUGUUGGGGAAUUUAGGUAAAAAGGAGAACGAAUCGAGCAGAGAGACUCCCAAAAUGGAGAAGGAUUCAGCUGCUUUUGAUGAUUUGCUUCCUGGUUUUGGUCGCAGUAGCUCCCCUAGUAUUAGCAGGUUAACUUCAGAGUCUAGUCGGUCCCAGAAACCAUCUGCAAAUUCGGCCAGGAAAGCCUCCAUUAUGAUGGAUGACCCUUUUGUGGUGUUAGAGUCAACUUCAACUCCUGCAGCUUCAUCCUCGAGGUUGUAUGUAGACCCUUUGGAAGAAAUUAGUAAAUUCAGUAGCUCUGGAAACACAAAGGUUGAUAAUUCAUCUGUAAAUAGGGGAGUAUUUGAUGAUGUAGACUCCUUUGAUAGCCUUGGAAAACCUGUACCUCCAGUUUCACCUGUAGUCAACAUGAGAGGAAAAGAUAGGAGCCCUCUUAGAACUGGACCAAGCAUGGGUGGCACUUAUUCACCUGCUAGCGAAGAUCCAGUUGACGAAUAUCCUGUGGACGAAGCUGAAGGCCACUCACAGAAGAAGAUGUCUAAUGAUGAUUUCCAUGAAUCACAUGAAACCUUG